rnacentral:rRNA from 1 species
GAUCCUGGCUCAGAGCGAACGCUGGCGGCAGGCUUAACACAUGCAAGUCGAGCGGGCGUAGCAAUACGUCAGCGGCAGACGGGUGAGUAACGCGUGGGAACGUACCUUUUGGUUCGGAACAACACAGGGAAACUUGUGCUAAUACCGGAUAAGCCCUUACGGGGAAAGAUUUAUCGCCGAAAGAUCGGCCCGCGUCUGAUUAGCUAGUUGGUGAGGUAAUGGCUCACCAAGGCGACGAUCAGUAGCUGGUCUGAGAGGAUGAUCAGCCACAUUGGGACUGAGACACGGCCCAAACUCCUACGGGAGGCAGCAGUGGGGUAAUAUUGGACAAUGGGCGCAAGCCUGAUCCAGCCAUGCCGCGUGAGUGAUGAAGGCCCUAGGGUUGUAAAGAUACUUUUGUGCGGGUAAGAUAAUGACGGUACCGCAAGAAAUAAAGUCCCCGGCUAA